rnacentral:rRNA from 1 species
GCUAGCGGCAGGCUUAACACAUGCAAGUCGAGGGGUAACAGGGUGCUUGCACCGCUGACGACCGGCGCACGGGUGCGUAACGCGUAUACAAUCUACCUUAUAGAGGGGGAUAGCCCAGAGAAAUUUGGAUUAAUACCCCAUAGUAUUUAGAGACAGCAUUGUCUUUUGAUUAAACAUUUAUGGCUAUAAGAUGAGUAUGCGUCCUAUUAGUUAGUUGGUAAGGUAACGGCUUACCAAGACCGCGAUAGGUAGGGGUCCUGAGAGGGAGAUCCCCCACACUGGUACUGAGACACGGACCAGACUCCUACGGGAGGCAGCAGUGAGGAAUAUUGGACAAUGGGCGAGAGCCUGAUCCAGCCAUGCCGCGUGCAGGAAGACGGCCCUAUGGGUUGUAAACUGCUUUUAUACGGGAAGAAACACUCUGACGUGUCAGAGCUUGACGGUACCGUAAGAAUAAGGAUCGGCUAACUCCGUGCCAGCAGCCGCGGUAAUACGGAGGAUCCAAGCGUUAUCCGGAAUCAUUGGGUUUAAAGGGUCCGUAGGCGGGACAAUAAGUCAGCGGUGAAAGUCUGUGGCUCAACCAUAGAAUUGCCAUUGAUACUGUUGUUCUUGAGUGUUUAUGAAGUGGUUGGAAUAUGUAGUGUAGCGGUGAAAUGCAUAGAUAUUACAUAGAACACCGAUUGCGAAGGCAGAUCACUAAUAAAAUACUGACGCUGAUGGACGAAAGCGUAGGUAGCGAACAGGAUUAGAUACCCUGGUAGUCUACGCCGUAAACGAUGGUUACUAGCUGUUCGGCUUCGGCUGAGUGGCUAAGCGAAAGUGAUAAGUAACCCACCUGGGGAGUACGUUCGCAAGAAUGAAACUCAAAGGAAUUGACGGGGGCCCGCACAAGCGGUGGAGCAUGUGGUUUAAUUCGAUGAUACGCGAGGAACCUUACCAGGGCUUAAAUGUAGAUUGACAGGGGUGGAAACACCUUUUCCUUCGGGCAAUUUACAAGGUGCUGCAUGGUUGUCGUCAGCUCGUGCCGUGAGGUGUCAGGUUAAGUCCUAUAACGAGCGCAACCCCUGUGGUUAGUUGCCAGCGAGUAAUGUCGGGAACUCUAACCAGACUGCCAGUGCAAACUGUGAGGAAGGUGGGGAUGACGUCAAAUCAUCACGGCCCUUACGUCCUGGGCCACACACGUGCUACAAUGGUAGGGACAGAGAGCAGCCACUGGGUGACCAGGAGCGAAUCUACAAACCCUAUCUCAGUUCGGAUCGGAGUCUGCAACUCGACUCCGUGAAGCUGGAAUCGCUAGUAAUCGCAUAUCAGCCAUGAUGCGGUGAAUACGUUCCCGGGCCUUGUACACACCGCCCGUCAAGCCAUGGAAGCUGGGGGUACCUGAAGUCGGUCACCGCAAGGAGCCGCCUAGGGUA